UACGUAGGGUGCAAGCGUUAAUCGGAAUUACUGGGCGUAAAGCGUGCGCAGGCGGCUGUGCAAGUCCGAGGUGAAAUCCCCGGGCUUAACCUGGGAAUGGCAUUGGUGACUGUACGGCUAGAGUGUGGCAGAGGGGGGUAGAAUUCCACGUGUAGCAGUGAAAUGCGUAGAGAUGUGGAGGAAUACCGAUGGCGAAGGCAGCCCCCUGGGAUAACACUGACGCUCAUGCACGAAAGCGUGGGGAGCAAACAGG
rnacentral:rRNA from 1 species